GGGGUUGUGGCUCAGUGGUAGAGUGCUUGCGUGGUACUCAUGAGACACUGGGUUCUAUCCUCAGCCCCA
rnacentral:tRNA from 1 species